rnacentral:rRNA from 1 species
GUCGAGAGGCUUCGGCAAUGGGGGAAACCCUGACCGAGCGACGCCGCGUGGGCGAUGAAGGCCUUCGGGUUGUAAAGCCCUUUCAGAUGGGAAGAAAGGUCGGUCGGUGAACAAUCGGCCGGCUGUGACGGUACCGUCAGAAGAAGCUCCGGCUAACUCCGUGCCAGCAGCCGCGGUAAUACGGGGGGAGCAAGCGUUGUUCGGAUUCAUUGGGCGUAAAGGGCGCGUAGGCGGCCUGGCAAGUCCGACAUGAAAUGUACCGGUUCAACCGGGGCACCGUGUCGGAAACUGCCUGGCUUGAGGCCGAGGGAGGAAGGUGGAAUUCCUGGUGUAGCGGUGAAAUGCGUAGAUAUCAGGAGGAACACCCGUGGCGAAAGCGGCCUUCUAUCUCGGAUCUGACGCUGAGGCGCGAAAGCUAGGGGAGCAAACGGGAUUAGAAACCCCGGUAGUCC